ACCGUAUAUUCAGUUCUUCUAUCGUGAGUUUCGAUGAGAUAGAGGUUAUGAAAAAUUCAUCAAACCUCAUCAUCUAUCAUAUGUAAGAUUUAUUUGACUUGAUUUCUUAUGUAAAAAUUAUAAAAAUAUUUUUCUAUCAUUCACUCUGUCCUGAUCAAGAUCUUCUGAACUCAGUCUCAUAAAUCACAUUGAACUUCUCAUUUUUUACUAAGAUCGAUAAAUUCUAUCUAAGUGCACAUCCUACUCCUAUAAUGAAUCUACUGUAGUCAAUCUAUACUGCAAGAAUCUGAAUGGCUAGAGUCAAAUAUAUGUACAAUCAAACUACAGCAAUCUCCUUGUGAAUAGUCGAGGCACCACAG
rnacentral:lncRNA from 1 species